rnacentral:rRNA from 1 species
CCAAUAGCGUAUAUUAAAGUUGUUGCAGUUAAAAAGCUCGUAGUUGAACCUCGGGAUCAAUGGAUCGGUCAUGCCAAUGGUAUGUACUGGUCAUAUUGGUUCUCACCUUCUAAGGAACCAUGAUGUCAUUCAUUUGAUGUUGUGGGGAAUUAGGACUGUUACCUUGAAAAAAUUAGAGUGUUUAAAGCAGGCUAACGCUUGAAUACAUUAGCAUGGAAUAAUGAAAUAGGACAUCGCAUUCUAUUUUGUUGGUUUCUAGGAUCGAUGUAAUGAUUAAUAGGGAUAGUUGGGGGCAUUAGUAUUCAAUUGUCAGAGGUGAAAUUCUUGGAUUUAUUGAAGACUAACUACUGCGAAAGCAUUUGCCAAGGAUGUUUUCAUUAAUCAAGAACGAAAGUUAGGGGAUCGAAGACGAUCAGAUACCGUCGUAGUCUUAACCAUAAACUAUGCCGACUAGGGAUCGGAUGAUGUUGAUUUUUUAAUGACUCAUUCGGCACCUUAC